UGGUCAAGUUAUUAAGGGUGCAGGGCGGAUGCCUUGGCACUAGGAGCCGAUGAAGGACGUGAUAAGCUGCGAUAAGCUUCGGGGAGUUGCACGUAAACUUUGAUCCGAAGAUUUCCGAAUGAGGAAACUCACUUAGAGUAAUGUCUAAGUAUCAUUAAGUGAAUACAUAGCUUAAUGAGGGGAACUCAGGGAACUGAAACAUCUAAGUACCUGAAGGAAGAGAAAGAAAUUCGAUUCCGUAAGUAGCGGCGAGCGAACGCGGAUUAGCCCAAACCAAUAAAGUUUUCUUUAUUGGGGUUGCGGACAUAUCAUAACGAAGAGGUAUCGUAAUUGAAGAGGUUUGGAAAGACCCACCACAGAAGGUAAUAGUCCUGUAUGUUAAACGAGAAGACUUUAGAUAUGAUCCAGAGUACCACGGGACACGUGAAACCCUGUGGGAAGCAGGAGGGACCACCCUCCAAGGCUAAAUACUACCUAGUGACCGAUAGCGUAUAGUACCGUGAGGGAAAGGUGAAAAGAACCCCGGGAGGGGAGUGAAAUAGAACCUGAAACCCUGCACUUACAAGCUGUGGAAGCACAUUUCUUGUGUGACCGCGUACUUUUUGUAGAACGGGCCAACGAGUUACGUUAAGUAGCAAGGUUAAGCACUUAAGGUGUGGAGCCGUAGCGAAAGCGAGUUUUAACUGAGCGUUCAGUUACUUGACGUAGACCCGAAACCGGGCGACCUACCCAUGAGCAGGCUGAAGCGAAAGUAAAAUUUCGUGGAGGUCCGAACCCACGAGCGUUGAAAAGCUCGGGGAUGACUUGUGGGUAGCGGUGAAAUUCCAAUCGAGCCCGGAGAUAGCUGGUUCUCCCCGAAAUAGCUUUAGGGCUAGCCUCAAGGUGAGAGAUACGGAGGUAGAGCACUGAAUGUCCUAGGGGGUAUUGCACCUACCGAAGACUAUCAAACUCCGAAUGCCGUCAUCUUAUACUUGGGAGUCAGACUGUGGGUGAUAAGAUUCAUAGUCGAAAGGGCAACAGCCCAGAUCGUCAGCUAAGGUCCCUAAAUGUAAGUUAAGUGGUAAAGGAUGUGGGAUUGCACAGACAACCAGGAUGUUGGCUUAGAAGCAGCCACUCAUUCAAAGAGUGCGUAAUAGCUCACUGGUCGAGUGAUCCUGCGCCGAAGAUUUCCGGGGCUAAAACUUACUACCGAAGCUACGGCAUCAGUAAUGAUGGGUAGGGGAGCUUCCCAUACGGGUUGAAGCAUGACCGUAAGGACAUGUGGACAGUAUGGGAGUGAGAAUGUUGGCAUGAGUAGCGAGAUGUGGGUGAGAAUCCCACAGGCCGUAAACCCAAGG
rnacentral:rRNA from 1 species